rnacentral:rRNA from 1 species
UAGGGAAUCUUCCACAAUGGACGCAAGUCUGAUGGAGCAACGCCGCGUGAGUGAAGAAGGUUUUCGGACCGUAAAGCUCUGUUGUUGGUGAAGAAGGAUAGAGGUAGCAACUGGCCUUUAUUUGACGGUAAUCAACCAGAAAGUCACGGCUAACUACGUGCCAGCAGCCGCGGUAAUACGUAGGUGGCAAGCGUUGUCCGGAUUUAUUGGGCGUAAAGCGAGCGCAGGCGGAAGAAUAAGUCUGAUGUGAAAGCCCUCGGCUUAACCGAGGAAUUGCAUCGGAAACUGUUUUCUUGAGUGCAGAAGAGGAGAGUAGAACUCCAUGUGUAGCGGUGGAAUGCGUAGAUAUAUGGAAGAAUACCAGUGGCGAAGGCGGCUCUCUGGUCUGCAACUGACGCUGAGGCUCGAAAGCAUGGGUAGCGAACAGGAUUAGAUACCCUGGUAGUCCAUGCCGUAAACGAUGAGUGCUAAGUGUUGGGAGGCUUCCGCCUCUCAGUGCUGCAGCUAACGCAUUAAGCACUCCGCCUGGGGGAGUACGACCGCAAGGUUGAAAC